UACAGAGGUCUCAAGCGUUGUUCGGAUUCAUUGGGCGUAAAGGGUGCGUAGGCGGCGCGGUAAGUCGGGUGUGAAAUCUCGGAGCUUAACUCCGAAACUGACAUUCGAUACUGCCGUGCUUGAGGACUGGAGAGGAGACUGGAAUUUACGGUGUAGCGGUGAAAUGCGUAGAUAUCGUAAGGAAGACCAGUGGCGAAGGC
rnacentral:rRNA from 1 species